UUUUCCUACUGUUUUCCUACUGUUUCCCUUUUAGGUUUUGAAUUGUCUGUGUUGAGCUCAUUUGUGGUGGCAUCCAGAGUGGAGAUGGGAGAACAGGAGGAAGC
ensembl:miRNA Mir6344 microRNA 6344